UCCUAAGGUAGCGAAAUUCCUUGUCGGGUAAGUUCCGACCUGCACGAAUGGAGUAACGAUAGCCCCACUGUCUCCUUCCGAGGCUCAGUGAAAUUGAAAUCGCUGUGACGAUGCAGUGUUCCCGCGGCAAGACGGAAAGACCCCGUGAACCUUCACUACAACUUUACAUUGGACUUUGAAAUUGCUUGUGUAGGAUAGGUGGGAGGCAUUGAAGUCAGGACGCUAGUCUUGAUGGAGCCAACCUUGAAAUACCACCCUGGUAAUU
rnacentral:rRNA from 1 species